rnacentral:rRNA from 1 species
CACCAGCGCCUCGAGUGGGGAUCGCGAUUAUUGGGCCUAAAGCGUCCGUAGCAGGCUUUGUAGAUCCUUUGUAAAAUGGGCAGGCCUAACCUGUCCGCGUGCAGAGGAGACCGCAGAGCUUGAGACCGGGAGAGGUCAGAAGUAUUCUUAGGGUACCGGUAAAAUGGGUUAAUCCUGAGAGGACUACCAAUGGCGAAGGCAUCUGACCAGAACGGUUCUGACUGUGAGGGACGAAAGCUAGGGGAGCAAAACGG